CGCGCGAAAGAAACUGUGUAUAGUUCGAUAAUUUGUAACGAUUAAUUUGUAAUUUGUAAUUUUAUAGCAUUAUUAAUAUUUACAAAAAAAGAAAGAAAAAUAUCAUUGAUAAUUUGUGAUUGUGUUUUUGAAUUUGUCUCUUUUUUUUUUACAUAAAAAAUGCUAAAUGAUAUACAACAAAAGAUAGACAUCGUGACGUGAAAUAUUUCGAUUCAGUGUUUUACAUUUUUCCAUCAGAGAUAUAUAAUUUUAAUGCAAUUUGAAAAUGUAUUUUAUGAUUAUACAAAGAUGGUAGCUUAUUUUUCUUUUUCGAUAAAUUAUUGGUGAGUCGUGAUAAAAAGAAAGGUUAGGACAUGCUUAACAGCAUAAUCAAGUAUUUAACAGCAUAAUUUUAUAAUUUCCUCGUGCAUAUUAAAUACAUUUAAUCUAAUAAGUUUACAUAUAUAUAUAUUCUAUAAAAUGACUAUUUAAUGUUUAAUAGAAUUAUAAAAUUUAAAUUAAAUUUGAAUUAUUAAAUUUAAACAAAAAUGAAAGUGUACAGAAACGAGACAUAUAUUUUCUGAAGAUUAAAAAGAUUAAAAAUACGAACGUAUAUAAAUUUUGUGUAUAUUAUUAUUACUAAUUAUUAAUUACUAAUUUUAAUUAUCGAUUAUUCGAUUUAUUCGAGUGAUCUUCGUUUUAUCGUCUUCGAUCGUCACGACUUUUGUCCAAACGAACGAAACUACCUGAUUUCCCACGAGAUAACCAUGCUCGAAAUUCGACGUAAAUCGAUUGCAAAAGCUCAGAUACGAUUACAAGCGAAUUCUCGUCGAUUCUUAAUCUUGAAUAAUUCUUUUUCUAGAAAUGUUUGUCCCGUUCAUUUUUUUUCGUAGUUUUUUUUUCUUUUUCCUCUUUUUCGCUAAAUAUAUCAUUUACUAAUAUUUUUCUUGUAUUUCAUUAAACUAUCCAACAUAGCUAUUCAACGUAUGCAUGAAAUCACAUACAAACGUGCCAUACAAAUGCAAAAUGCAUUUUGAAUUGAGCCUUCCAUUGCCUGUCAGAAAAUUUGUAAGUAUUUACUUAUAUGAUAUCUCUAUAUUGUUCGAAAUGAAUUUCAUCUUGAAACGUCCGUUAUUUCUUUACAAAUCAAAUCGGAGAUUUACGCGUGUAUAAAGUAAUUAUCUUCCUAUUUCCUACAAUUGUUAAAACUAAUUUGCAUUAAGGCAAAUGCAAAAAAAAAUUGACCAAUUUUUCACGCUACUUCCGAAUCUCAUUCAUGUAUUUAUUUAUGACUGUUUUUUACUUCUCAUUUUUAUUUUAGGUUAUGUUAUUUUAUUUUAGAUUAAUCGAUUAUUAGAAAAAAAGACUAAUUUUAACAAAAACAUUCAAUUACGAUAAUCAAUUCAAUAUCCUGUAGACUAUUUCGAUUCUAUUGUACUAGAGAAUUGCUAGGAUGUAAUCGUGCGAAUACAUAGUAGGAAAUGUUCACGAAAGCUUGGUUAUAUUCGGUAGUUAUCUGAACAUGAACGAUGGAGAGAUUGUUAAGGAGUUGAAGAACGAUACCAAAUUUCCUAUCUUAUGCCAAGCUUGGAAGAUAUUUAGUCGAGUCGUAUAAAAUCGUGAUUUGAACUUAUCACGAAAUAUUUAAGAUGUUAUAAAUAUUAAAUUGCAUAAGCUUAUCGACGAAAUCUAAUUCUCAUUAAUAUUCUCGUUGAUUUUAUAAUUUAUAAAUAUAUUAACAAAGCAUUUGAUGAUAUAAAGACAAAUAGCUUGGCGUUAUAUCAUCAAAUUUAACUCUAUCAUAAUUUAUGACUGGAACAAGGAUUCAAUAAAGACCUGGAUAGGAUGCUCGAGUGAAUGUUUGGAAAGUCGCUGAACUACAAAGUGUCGAUGAUAUGACUAUUUAAAGGAUGAAUCGAUGAAAAUAUUCGUAAAAAGGGAAAAUUAUGAAAGAGAAGACAGAUAUAAACAAUUAAUUGCACGAUUUCUACGGAAUGAUUCAAAGUAAAUGAUGUUCGACCAACAUUGUUUGAGAAGAGUCGAAGAAGCAAAAGAAGCAAACUUUUCUACAAAAGUGAAAGAUCCUCUCUGCGAGAUAUCGAGUUGUCGUCUACAUCUCGAGGGCAAAGAUCUUUUUUUAUAUUAGGUGUAUGAAUGGAAAUUCGAUUCGUAACAUAGGAUAGAGAAACGUGAACGAACAUUUUCAAGAAUGGAAUUUCGCGUGUCGCGUAUCGUUUAAAAGUGUAAGACGGCAGAUAUACGAAAUGGGAGAAACGGAUGGAGAGAUUUUUGAAGGAAUCGGAAGAGGAAAGAAAGUGCGGCGUAUCCAUUCCGGCGUAGAGAAUAGAUGCUCGGUAGGUCGUGUUACACCUUCAUCGUCCGAGGGGAUGUAAGGGGAGGGUUGCAGAUCGAUGACCACGCGAGGGUGUUGAACGCACGUGACGUCACGACACAUACACCGAUACGAAAUCGAGGUUAGACAAGCCUAAGCUCGGUAUACCGCUUAGACACUGUCUCUUCUCUAUCCGGUUGUUUUAGCCACGUUUUACCGACACCUUCUCUGGCGCGUUGACCGGAAACUUGUCCAAGAGCGACAGAAACAACAUUGUUCCAUUACAAGGUAUUAUUGCGUUUGAUACCCGUACGUGAACGCGAGCGUUAAUAUUAACGCGAGUGCGUACGGGUAACCCGAAUGCAAGCGUAAGCACAUCCGUGUACACCGAACGGCAGGAAUAUGAGCACGUUUACUCAGUUAUGCAUUUUCAUAGCAGUCGCAAGCACGAAUGAUCUCGCGUUCUCGUAGAAGAUGUAUUCGGCGCGAGCAACUCGACUACCGCAGCCUCGCCAACCGUGUAUCAGCUACAGAGAAGCAGAGACGGUCUUUUUGGUACUCGUGGUCUCUACGCUCUGCUGAACACUCGCUCCCCGACCUACUAAUUUAGCGGAUUAAUUAGCCGAGACACUAAGACUUGGCGGAAAGGCGGAAAUCCAGACGUCCCAACGGAAAAUUUCUGUCGUAUUACCGAAUCUCUAGGUUUUCUUCGCGGCGAUCCUACGCGAGUUUGAGUAAACUUUGGUAAUCGGAUUAAAACGUUAAUCGGACUGCCAGCGAGCGGAAUUACUUCGAAACGAGAUCUCGCUUAUACGUAAAGUGGAUCGUUAAAUUUCGCGAGAAACUCCCUUGAAACAACAUUUCUCCAUUCUUGAUACAAUUUCUGCCCGAUUUAUCGAUAAUUAACAUAAUUUUAUAUACAUGUACACACACGCACACACGCGCAUACAUAUUCAAUUAAAUUCGAUUAUUUGUAUGGCCGAUGGUUGAUAAUUAAUUAGAAAUCUAUGAAUUAAUUAGAAAUUUAGAAUUAAAUAUUAAAUGGUAAUUCGAUCAACAAUGCUUCCUUUUUCGUAUCUUCAUUUCUAUAUACAUAUAUGGAUAUUUUAAUUCAUUUACAUGUAAAAAUAUUAUUUACAAAAAAUAUUAAUAUAGUAACUAAAAUUAUUAAAAAAGGGAAACGAUCGGAGAACAGAGAGUGGCGCAGCGGUAUUUGUACGUCUAGGACAACGCAACGUAAAUCAAAAACCGGGAGAAACGUUGUUAUCGAUUAACCUCCUUUUCCAGAGAAAUCCAUUCGCUUUUUCGAAACUAGAACUUUUCCGUACGUUUUUCG